UACGAAGGGGGCUAGCGUUGUUCGGAAUUACUGGGCGUAAAGCGCACGUAGGCGGAUUUGUAAGUCAGGGGUGAAAUCCCGGGGCUCAACCUCGGAACUGCCUUUGAUACUGCAAGUCUAGAGUCCGGAAGAGGUGGGUGGAAUUCCUAGUGUAGAGGUGAAAUUCGUAGAUAUUAGGUAGAACACCGGUGGCGAAGGCGGCCUGCUGGUCCGGUACUGACGCUGAGGUGCGAAAGCGUCGGGAGCAAACAGG
rnacentral:rRNA from 1 species